UCUCCCAGUGUAGCUGUAUCUAAAAUAAGGAAACAAGAUUCCAUGAGGUCAUAAGAGCAUGGCCCUCAUCCUACAAGACUAUGUGCCCUUAAAGGGACGCCAAAGGGCUUACUCCCAAACCUUAGCUAUCAAAAUGUGGCACAGAGGAAAGGCUUUGGUGAAAAUGCUUCUACCUACAAGUCAGCAAGAGUCCUCAACAGGAACCUCUAACCCAGAACUUGAUCUUGAACUUCUCAGCUUCCAAACUACCAUAAGAAAUGUUUCCCAGUCUAUGGUAUCUUGCUGUGGUACUAAGCUCAGAAUAUAUUUGGGGAGCCAUCUCUACUUCAUCUUUCAUUACAGAGUAUUUACAGCUGUAAGCAACCAGUUGGAUUGUACUGCCACCCACUGGGCAAAAAGCAAAUAGCAAUGCAACACCUGCUGAGAUCUCAACACCAAGACAUGGCUGGCCCUUGACUUAUAUAAGUCAGUGUUUGUACAGCCUGAAUAAAGUUAUAACUAAU